CAGGCUUGCACGAAGACCUUUUCCACAGCAGCAGGAGCUGUUAGCUGGGAGUGUAAGAGAAUUGGAUGUGACUAUUAGAAGCAAGCGGUUCUUGCCACUGUGUUCUCCUGGGGCUUGAAGCUUAUUUUCUUUUCCUCCUUUCUGAACAAUUCUUUUCUAAGCUUAUAGUGUCUCU